rnacentral:rRNA from 1 species
CAAUAGCGUAUAUUAAAGUUGUUGCAGUUAAAAAGCUCGUAGUUGGAUUUCUGGUGGGAGCGAUCGGUCUGGCGCUUAGUGCGAGUACUUGCAUCGUCUCCGGCCAUCCUUGGGGAGAGUCUGUCUGGCAUUAGGUUGUCGGGCAGAGGAUCCUCAUCGUUUACUGUGAAAAAAUUAGAGUGUUCAAAGCAGGCUUAUGCCGUUGAAUAUAUUAGCAUGGAAUAAUAAGAUAGGACUUUGGUACUAUUUUGUUGGUUUGCGCACCAAAGUAAUGAUUAAUAGGGACAGUUGGGGGUAUUCGUAUUCCGUUGUCAGAGGUGAAAUUCUUGGAUUUACGGAAGACGAACUACUGCGAAAGCAUUUACCAAGGAUGUUUUCAUUAA